UGGCUGUGUAGCGACUCCCAGAUGCACAUCAGCAGAAUGGCGGCUCUAUAGUGAUGAAUCUCGGGUUAUAGAAACUGGAUUGUUCCAGGCAGUGGCGACGCUACAUAAUGACUGCAAUGUCAAAUGACAACACAAGAUUGCUAACAUAAGUUGAUGAUCCAUAGCUCAGAUGUUGAUUGCAUGGUCAAAUGUUGGUAGCAAGGU